rnacentral:rRNA from 1 species
UGAACCCCCACACUGGUACUGAGACACGGACCAGACUCCUACGGGAGGCAGCAGUGAGGAAUAUUGGUCAAUGGGCGAGAGCCUGAACCAGCCAAGUCGCGUGAAGGAUGACUGUCUUAUGGAUUGUAAACUUCUUUUGUAGGGGAAUAAAGAACGGCACGUGUGCCGUAGUGAAUGUACCCUACGAAUAAGCAUCGGCUAACUCCGUGCCAGCAGCCGCGGUAAUACGGAGGAUGCGAGCGUUAUCCGGAUUUAUUGGGUUUAAAGGGUGCGUAGGCGGCCUGUUAAGUCAGCGGUGAAAUCUAGGAGCUUAACUCCUAAAUUGCCAUUGAUACUGGCGGGCUUGAGUGUAGAUGAGGUAGGCGGAAUGUGUGGUGUAGCGGUGGAAUGCAUAGAUAUCACGCAGAACUCCGAUUGCGAAGGCAGCUUAAUAAGGUACAACUGACGGUGAAGCACGAAAGCGUGGGUAUCAAACAGG